rnacentral:rRNA from 1 species
AGACUCCUACGGGAGGCAGCAGUGAGGAAUAUUGGACAAUGGGCGGGAGCCUGAUCCAGCCAUGCCGCGUGCAGGAAGACUGCCCUAUGGGUUGUAAACUGCUUUUAUACAGGAAGAAACACUCUCUCGUGAGGGAGCUUGACGGUACUGUAAGAAUAAGGAUCGGCUAACUCCGUGCCAGCAGCCGCGGUAAUACGGAGGAUCCAAGCGUUAUCCGGAAUCAUUGGGUUUAAAGGGUCCGUAGGUGGAUAAUUUAGUCAGAGGUGAAAUCCUGCAGCUCAACUGUAGAAUUGCCUUUGAUACUGGUUAUCUUGAGUCAUUAUGAAGUAGUUAGAAUAUGUAGUGUAGCGGUGAAAUGCAUAGAUAUUACAUAGAAUACCGAUUGCGAAGGCAGAUUACUAAUAAUGUACUGACACUGAUGGACGAAAGCGUGGGGAGCGAACAGGAUUAGAUACCCUGGUAGUCCACGCCGUAAACGAUGGUUACUAGCUGUUCGGACUUCGGUCUGAGUGGCUAAGCGUAAAGUGAUAGGUAACCCACCUGGGGAGUACGUUCGCAAGGCUAAAACUCAAGGAAAUUGACGGGGCCCGCACAAGAAGC